ACGCUCGACACCUACGGAGGCAGCAGUGGGGAAUAUUGCACAAUGGGGGAAACCCUGAUGCAGCGACGCCGCGUGAGUGAAGAAGUAUUUCGGUAUGUAAAGCUCUAUCAGCAGGGAANAAAAUGACGGUACCUGACUAAGAAGCCCCGGCUAACUACGUGCUAGCAGCCGCGGUAAUCUGAGCGGCUGGCAAGGC
rnacentral:rRNA from 1 species